AGAGUUUGAUCCUGGCUCAGAACGAACGCUGGCGGCGCGCCUAAUACAUGCAAGUCGAGCGAGAAGGUGUAGCAAUACACUUGUAAAGCGGCGAACGGGUGAGGAAUACAUGGGUAACCUACCCUCGAGUGGGGAAUAACCAGCCGAAAGGUUGGCUAAUACCGCAUACGAUUCUCGGACUGCGGUUCGGGAAAGAAAGCGAUACCGUGGGUAUCGCGCUCUUGGAUGGGCUCAUGUCCUAUCAGCUUGUUGGUGAGGUAACGGCUCACCAAGGCUUCGACGGGUAGCUGGUCUGAGAGGACGAUCAGCCACACUGGCACUGCGACACGGGCCAGACUCCUACGGGAGGCGGCAGUAAGGAAUAUUGCGCAAUGGGCGACAGCCUGACGCAGCGACGCCGCGUGGGGGAUGAAGGUCUUCGGAUUGUAAACCCCUUUCGGGAGGGAAGAUGGGACGGGCAACCGUUCGGACGGUACCUCCAGAAGCAGCCACGGCUAACUUCGUGCCAGCAGCCGCGGUAAUACGAAGGUGGCAAGCGUUGUUCGGAUUUACUGGGCGUACAGGGAGCGUAGGCGGUUGGGUAAGCCCUCCGUGAAAUCUCCGGGCCUAACCCGGAAAGUGCGGAGGGGACUGCUCAGCUAGAGGAUGGGAGAGGAGCGCGGAAUUCCCGGUGUAGCGGUGAAAUGCGUAGAGAUCGGGAGGAAGGCCGGUGGCGAAGGCGGCGCUCUGGAACAUUUCUGACGCUGAGGCUCGAAAGCGUGGGGAGCAAACAGGAUUAGAUACCCUGGUAGUCCACGCCCUAAACGAUGGACACUAAGUGUCGGCGGGUUACCGCCGGUGCCGCAGCUACGCAGUAAGUGUCCCGCCUGGGAAGUACGGCCGCAAGGUUGAACUCAAAGGAAUUGACGGGGGCCCGCACAAGCGGUGGAGCAUG
rnacentral:rRNA from 1 species